AACGAACGCUGGCGGCAGGCUUAACACAUGCAAGUCGAGCGGGGACUUCGGUCCUAGCGGCGGACGGGUGAGUAACGCGUGGGAACGUGCCUUUUGCUUCGGAAUAGCCCUGGGAAACUGGGAGUAAUGCCGGAUGAUCCCUUAGGGGGAAAGAUCUAUCGGCAAGAGAUCGGCCCGCGUUGGAGUGGGUAGUUGGUGGGGUAAUGGCCUACCAAGCCGACGAUCCAUAGCUGGUUUGAGAGGAUGAUCAGCCACACUGGGACUGAGACACGGCCCAGACUCCUACGGGGGGCGGCCGUGGGGAAUAUUGGACAUUGGGCGCAAGCCUGAUCCAGCCAUGCCGCGUGAGUGAUGAAGGCCCUAGGGUUGUAAAGCUCUUUCACCGGUGAAGAUAAUGACGGUAACCGGAGAAGAAGCCCCGGCUAACAUCGUGCCAGCCGCCGCAGUAA
rnacentral:rRNA from 1 species